rnacentral:rRNA from 1 species
GAUCAUGGCUCGGGAUGAACGCUAGCUACAGGCUUAACACAUGCAAGUCGAGGGGCAGCAUGGUCUUAGCUUGCUAAGGCCGAUGGCGACCGGCGCACAGGUGAGUAACGCGUAUCCAACCUGCCUUACACUCUUGGACAGCCUUCUGAAAGGGAGAUUAAUACAAGAUGUUAUCAUGAGUAAGCAUUUUCGCAUGAUUAAAGGUUUACCGGUGUAAGAUGGGGAUGCG